AUGUUUGUGCUUGCGAUCAAUGACUCUGCUAGUGAGGUUCUAACUAAGGCAAGUCUAUUGCUGGUUGAAAACUAUUUCCAAACCUCCUCUUUGGCCUGGGUUCGCCCCUGGCAGAUGAGAAUUUUCGGAAUGGCUCCCUUCGGAGUUAAGCC
rnacentral:snRNA from 1 species